rnacentral:rRNA from 1 species
AUUGAACGCUGGCGGCGUGCCUCAGACAUGCAAGUCGAACGAUUAAAGCUCUCUUCGGAGAGUGUAUAGAGUGGCGCACGGGUGAGUAACACGUAAGUAAUCUACCCUCGAGUGGGGAAUAACAACCGGAAACGGUUGCUAAUACCGCAUAAUGCAGCGGCACCGCAAGGUGACAGUUGUUAAAGAUUUAUCGCUUGAGGAGGAGCUUGCGGCAGAUUAGCUAGUUGGUAGGGUAACGGCUUACCAAGGCUACGAUCUGUAACCGGUCUAAGAGGACGGUCGGUCACACUGACACUGAAUAACGGGUCAGACUCCUACGGGAGGCAGCAGUCGGGAAUUUUGGGCAAUGGGCGAAAGCCUGACCCAGCAACGCCGCGUGAAGGAUGAAGUAUUUCGGUAUGUAAACUUCGAAAGAAUAGGAAGAAUUAAUGACGGUACUAUUUAUAAGGUCCGGCUAACUACGUG